UUCCAAAUUUUCCUAUCCAUUUUUCUACUUCCCAUCUUUUGCAGAUAAAGUCAUGUUGAAGCCCUAAUGCCCAAAGUAUUUGGAGGUGGGACCUUUGGGAGGAAUUAAGUUUGAGGGAAGAACACUCAAAUGGAAUUAGUGCCCUUACAGAAGAGAUACAAAACAGAAGUUUCUCAGCCACAUGAAGACACAGCAAGAAGAGGAACUCAGACCAGUCUUUGGCUGCCAGGUCACACCCCCUGCAAAAGAUUUUGCUAGAAAAUAAGCAGCCUGGACAGUUUGCGGACAUCCAGGAGCUGAGAGGGAGCUGCCGGAAGUCACCAGUCCUGCUGUUAUCAUUUGUGUCACUUGCUUGUUUUACCUUUUUAUAUAGAAGAAAAAUCACAGUGGGGGUAUUUGUUGCAACUAAACCUCAAGGAUGUCUCUACAUCUUUCUCCAAGUUGGCCAACAGCAUGGUCCUGUCUAUACUCUAUCUUGGAUCCAAACCCACUGUGGUCUUAUAUGGAUAUGAUGCAGUGAAGGAAGCUCUGAUAGAUCGGGGUGAAGAAUUCCUUGACAGAUCUUAUGUUCCCAUUGCUGAGGAGACCCUAAAAGGAAAUGGAGAAACACAACCCAAAGUUCAUGAAGAAAUUGACCAUGUGAUUGGACAUCACCAAAUCUCCUGAAUGAAGGACAAGAUGAGGCUGCCUUAUACAGAGGCCGUGUGUUGAAUGAGAUACAAAGGGCACUACUGUAUUUCCAGUACUGUCUUCGGUCUUGUUCAAUUACAAGAAAUUUCCUAACCCAGAGAAAUUUAACCCAGGCCGCUUUUUGGAUAAAAAUGACAGCAUCAGGAAAUUGGACUACUUCUUGCCUUUUUCCCUUGAUCUGGAUGGAGCCAUUUAAGUCUGCACACCACUAGAAUGAGAAACCCUAUUUCCUGAGACCUGAUGGAUGAGGAAACAUCACCACAUCCCUUGACAUGAAGGAGCUGCAUCCUGAGAACUGCCAAGGUCACAGACACUGUUUUCCUACCCUUUGUAAGCCAGGUGUUGGCAGAACCAAACCAGGCCUUCAGGAGGCCUUAAUUGAGCAA